rnacentral:rRNA from 1 species
AUGGCUGCUCCCGCGCCGGCCUUCUUCCUCGCCCCAGAUGCCGCUGCUCGUCUCCUCUCCGGUGAGUGCGGAGGAGCCACCGCGGUCGAGGUAGCCGUCGGCUGGAGCCCCGCCUCUUCUCCUCUCCGGUCACCGUGGAGGUCCGCCGCGUCCAACCUCCUCGACGGCGCCCUGAACCCUAGGCAGCCCAUCUCUUCCUCCCAUGGCCAUGGCCAUGGUGAGCCUACAAGAUGUGCAGCAGCAGAUAUUGAUUUCCCAGCCCGCCUGACGGCCCGCUCCCCUCGCCCCCGCGCAGAUCUUCGAGUACAACGGCUCCGCAACCUGCAGCCGCCGGUCCGGGACGAGCGCAGUGCCGGUUCAGGUGUCCAGCGUCAACCAGAGCGCGCCCCAGAUGCUCGACGGAACGCCCGCUGCACCGCCUGGUCUCAACUUUCUUGCCCUUUGCCAAGCUGA